rnacentral:rRNA from 1 species
UACGUAGGGUGCAAGCGUUAUCCGGAAUUAUUGGGCGUAAAGAGCUACGUAGGCGGUUUGUCGCGUCUGCUGUGAAAACUGGAGGCUCAACCUCCAGCCUGCAGUGGGUACGGGCAGACUAGAGUGGCGGUAGGGGAGAUCGGAAUUCCUGGUGUAGCGGUGAAAUGCGGCAGAAUAUCAGGAGGAACACCGGUGGCGAAGGCGGAUCUCUGGGCCGCAACUGGACGCUGAGACGCGAAAGCGUGGGGAGCAAACAGG